rnacentral:rRNA from 1 species
CACGUAGGGCGCGAGCGUUGUCCGGAAUUAUUGGGCGUAAAGAGCUCGUAGGCGGCCUGUUGCGUCCGCUGUGAAAGCCCGGGGCUUAACCCCGGGUCUGCAGUGGAUACGGGCAGGCUAGAGGUAGGUAGGGGAGAAUGGAAUUCCCGGUGUAGCGGUGAAAUGCGCAGAUAUCGGGAGGAACACCGGUGGCGAAGGCGGUUCUCUGGGCCUGUACUGACGCUGAGGAGCGAAAGCGUGGGGAGCAAACAGG